CGGGGUGUAGCUCAGUCCGGCAGAGCGCGCGGUUUGGGGCCGUGAGGCCGGCAGUUCAAAUCUGCCCACCCCGACCA
rnacentral:tRNA from 1 species